rnacentral:rRNA from 11 species
UUAGCUGAGAGUAUUCCUCAAGGCACCAAAUCCCACCUGAUCUUGGAAGCUAAGCCAGUUCAGCCCUGGUUAGUAUUUGGGUGGCAGACAGUGAAUAAAUAAAUAAGCAGGCUUUUAAU